UGGGGAAUAUUGCACAAUGGGCGAAAGCCUGAUGCAGCGACGCCGCGUGAGGGAUGACGGCCUUCGGGUUGUAAACCUCUUUCAGCAGGGACGAAGCGCAAGUGACGGUACCUGCAGAAGAAGCACCGGCUAACUACGUGCCAGCAGCCGCGCUAAUACGUAGGGUGCAAGCGUUGUCCGGAAUUACUGGGCGUAAAGAGUUCGUAGGCGGUUUGUCGCGUCGUUUGUGAAAACCAGCAGCUCAACUGCUGGCUUGCAGGCGAUACGGGCAGACUUGAGUACUGCAGGGGAGACUGGAAUUCCUGGUGUAGCGGUGAAAUGCGCAGAUAUCAGGAGGAACACCGGUGGCGAAGGCGGGUCUCUGGGCAGUAACUGACGCUGAGGAACGAAAGCGUGGGUAGCGAACAGG
rnacentral:rRNA from 1 species